UACGUAGGGUGCAAGCGUUGUCCGGAAUUAUUGGGCGUAAAGAGCUCGUAGGCGGCUUGUCACGUCGACUGUGAAAACCCGGGGCUCAACUCCGGGCCUGCAGUCGAUACGGGCUGGCUUGAGUGCGGUAGGGGAGACUGGAAUUCCUGGUGUAGCGGUGAAAUGCGCAGAUAUCAGGAGGAACACCGGUGGCGAAGGCGGGACUCUGGGCCGAUACUGACGCUGAGGAGCGAAAGCGUGGGGAGCAAACAGG
rnacentral:rRNA from 1 species